rnacentral:rRNA from 1 species
CAUAAUCUCUGAGGAGAAAAGCAGGGGAUCUUAAGACCUUGUGCUUUUGGAGCGGCCGAUGCCUGAUUAGCUWGUUGGUAAGGUAAAAGCCUACCAAGGCUUCGAUCAGUAGUUGGUCUGAGAGGACGACCAGCCACACUGGGACUGAGACACGGCCCAGACUCCUACGGGAGGCAGCAGUGGGGAAUUUUGGACAAUGGGGGCAACCCUGAUCCAGCCAUGCCGCGUGAGUGAAGAAGGCCUUCGGGUUGUAAAGCUCUUUCAGUCGGAAAGAAAAGGUUACGGUUAAUACCCGUAACUAAU